UACAGAGGUGGCAAGCGUUGUUCGGAAUUACUGGGCGUAAAGGGCGCGUAGGCGGCCUUCUAAGUCAGACGUGAAAUCCCCCGGCUUAACCUGGGAACUGCGUCUGAUACUGGAGGGCUUGAGUGCGGGAGAGGGAUGUGGAAUUCCAGGUGUAGCGGUGAAAUGCGUAGAUAUCUGGAGGAACACCGGUGGCGAAGGCGGCAUCCUGGACCGACACUGACACUGAGGAGCGAAAGCAUGGGGAGCGAACAGG
rnacentral:rRNA from 1 species